rnacentral:rRNA from 1 species
UACGGAGGGUGCGAGCGUUGUCCGGAAUCACUGGGCGUAAAGGGCGCGUAGGCGGCCAACUAAGUCAGGACGUGAAAUCCCCAGGCUCAACCUGGGAACUGCGUCUGAUACUGGAUGGCUCGAGUUCGGGAGAGGGAAGUGGAAUUCCAGGUGUAGCGGUGAAAUGCGUAGAUAUCUGGAGGAAUACCGGUGGCGAAGGCGGCAUCCUGGACCGGCAUUGACGCGUGAUGGAGCGAAAAGCUAGGGGAGCAAACGGG